rnacentral:rRNA from 1 species
AUACGGAGGGUCCGAGCGUUAUCCGGAUUUAUUGGGUUUAAAGGGUGCGCAGGCGGCCAUUUAAGUCAGCGGUUAAAUCGUGGGGCUCAACCCCAUUCUGCCGUUGAUACUGGGUGGCUUGAUUGCGGUCGAGGUUGGCGGAAUUCGUUGUGUAGCGGUGAAAUGCAUAGAUAUGACGAAGAACACCGAUUGCGUAGGCAGCUGACCAGACCGCAAAUGACGCUCAUGCACGAAAGUGCGGGGAUCGAACAGGAUUAGAUACCCUGGUAGUCCGCACAGUAAACGAUGAAUACUUGUUUUCGGCGAUAUAAUGUCGGAGGCAAAGCGAAAGCGAUAAGUAUUCCACCUGGGGAGUACGCCGGCAACGGUGAAACUCAAAUGAAUUGGCGGG